GUAGGUGGCAAGCGUUGUCCGGAAUUAUUGGGCGUAAAGCGCGCGCAGGCGGUUCUUUAAGUCUGAUGUGAAAGCCCACGGCUCAACCGUGGAGGGUCAUUGGAAACUGGAGAACUUGAGUACAGAAGAGGAAAGCGGAAUUCCACGUGUAGCGGUGAAAUGCGUAGAGAUGUGGAGGAACACCAGUGGCGAAGGCGGCUUUCUGGUCUGUAACUGACGCUGAGGCGCGAAAGCGUGGGGAGCAAACAGGGAUUAGAUACCCUGGUAGUCCACGCCGUAAACGAUGAGUGCUAAGUGUUAGGGGGGUUUCCGCCCCCUUAGUGCUACAGCUAACGCAUUAAGCACUCCGCCUGGGGAGUACGGCCGCAAGGCUG
rnacentral:rRNA from 1 species